rnacentral:rRNA from 1 species
UACGAAGGGUGCAAGCGUUACUCGGAAUUACUGGGCGUAAAGGGUGCGUAGGUGGUUGUUUAAGUCUGCUGUGAAAUCCCCGGGCUCAACCUGGGAAUGGCAGUGGAUACUGGAUAGCUAGAGUGCGGUAGAGGGUAGUGGAAUUCCCGGUGUAGCAGUGAAAUGCGUAGAGAUUGGGAGGAACACCAGUGGCGAAAGCGACUUUCUGGGCCGUUCCUGACGCUGAGGUUCGAAAGCCAGGGGAGCAAACGGG